UACAGAGGGUGCGAGCGUUAAUCGGAGUUACUGGGCGUAAAGGGUGCGCAGGCGGCCGAGUGUGUGAGGCGUGAAAGCCCGGGGCUUAACCCCGGAAUUGCACCUCAAACUACACGGCUAGAGCAUUGGAGAGGGUAGCGGAAUUCACGGUGUAGCAGUGAAAUGCGUAGAUAUCGUGAGGAACACCAGAGGCGAAGGCGGCUACCUGGACAAUUGCUGACGCUCAGGCACGAAAGCGUGGGGAGCAAAAGGG
rnacentral:rRNA from 1 species